UGGUAAACAGGAACAUUUAUUUCAGGUUUAACAUAAAGAACCAUGCUGUCUCUCUCAACACAUUAUCAAUAUUAUAUAGAGGCCCAAAUGAUACCUUAUUCCCUAUAUAGUGCACUUGAAUAGACCAGAGCCCAAUUUCCUAUAUAGUGCACUACAUUAGACCAGAGCCCUAUUCCCGAUAUAGUGCACUUCUAUAGACUAGAGCCCUAUUCCCGAUAUAGUGCACUACAUUAGACCAGAGCCCUAUUCCCGAUAUAGUGCACUACUUUGGGCUCUGGUCAUAAAGUAGAACAACAUAUUCAACUUCUGUGUCUCUUUCUUUUCUCCACAACCCCAGACUGUUUCCAUCUUCAGUCAGAAUGUAUUUUCCUCAAAUUUAUAGACACACCAACUGUCCCAGAUACAGGCUCUCUCUCUAUAUAUAUAGAUAUAGUCCAUCAGUCCUCCUCCUCUCUCUAGAGAUAUAGACCAUCAGUCCUCCUUCUCCUCCUCUCUCUCUACAGAUAUAGUCCAUCAGUCCUCCUCCUCUCUCUAGAGAUAUAGUUCAUCAGUCCUCCUUCUCCUCCUCUCUCUCUCUACAGAUAUAGUCCAUCAGUGCUCCUUCUCCUCCCCUCUCUCUCUCUAGAGAUAUAGUCCAUCAGUCCUCCUUCUCCUCCUCUCUCUCUCUAGAGAUAUAGUCCAUCAGUCCUCCUUCUCCUCCUCCAUCUUUAGAGAUAUAGUCCAUCAGUGCUCCUUCUCCUCCUCUCUUUGUAUAGAGAUAAAGUCCAUCAGUCCACCUUCUCCUCCUCUCUCUCUCUAGAGAUAAAGUCCAUCAGUCCUCCUUCUCCUGCUCUCUCUAGAGAUAAAGUCCAUCAGUCCACCUUCUCCUCCUCUCUCUCUCUAGAGAUAUAGUCCAUCAGUCCUCCUUCUCCUCCUCCAUCUUUAGAGAUAUAGUCCAUCAGUCCUCCUUCUCCUCUCUCUCUCUAGAGAUAUAGUCCAUCAGUGCUCCUUCUCCUCCUCUCUUUGUAUAGAGAUAUAGUCCAUCAGUCCUCCUUCUCCUCCUUUCUCUCUAGAGAUAAAGUCCAUCAGUCCUCCUUCUCCUGCUCUCUCUAGAGUUAAAGUCCAUCAGUCCACCUUCUCCUCCUCUCUCUCUCUAGAGAUAUAGUCCAUCAGUGCUCCUUCUCCUCCUCUCUCUCUCUCUAGAGAUAUAGUCCAUCAGUCCUCCUUCUCCUGCUCUCUCUAGAGAUAAAGUCCAUCAGUCCUCCUUCUCAUCCUCUCUCUCUAUAGAUAGAGUCCAUCAGUCCUCCUUCUCCUCCUCCUCUCCUCUUCUUCCCCCUCUUCCUCUCAAGAUAUAGUCGUCAGUCUCUCACCCACUCCCCUCCCACUCCUCCUCCUCCUCUUCC
ensembl:lncRNA